rnacentral:rRNA from 1 species
GAUAACUGUGGUAAUUCUAGAGCUAAUACAUGCAACCGAGCCCCAGCGUCGGCUCUCGGGCCGUCCGGGGCGCUUUAUUGGCUGAAAACCGAUGAUCUCUUUCGGGAGAUCUUUAUUCGAUGAAUCACAAUAACAUUGUGUGGAUCGUACGGUCUUGUACCGACGACGCGCCUUUCAAAUAUCUGCCUUAUCAGCUCUCGACGGUUUGCUAGUGGCUGACCGUGGCUCUGACGGGUAACGGGGAAUCUGGGUUCGGUUCCGGAGAGGGAGCCUGAGAGAUGGCUACCACAUCUAAGGAAGGCAGCAGGCGCGUAACUUACCCACUCCCAGUUCAGGGAGGUAGUGACAAUAAAUACCUUACAGAGGUCUCGUUAACCGAGAUCUCUCAAACGGAAUGAGUACAACGUGAAUCCUUUAACGAGGAUCGACUGGAGGGCAAGCCUGGUGCCAGCAGCCGCGGUAAUUCCAGCUCCAGUAGCGUAUAUUAAAGCUGUUGCGGUUAAAAAGCUCGUAGUUGGAUAUCAGUGCGUGUCCGGUCCGGUAUGCCUGGCAGCGUCGCCCUGUGCGUCGCCGCUGGGCUCCCAAAUAUCGGCUGGCCGCAUUCAAUCGUGCCGGAUCCGUCGACGGGCCGUUCUUCGGAGGGGCCUGUUGGCGACCGGCGACGUUACCUUGAACAAAUUAGAGUGCUCAAAGCAGCUCUGAAUGCCUGUAUACAUAUUCAUGGAAUUGGAGAAUACGUCCCUGGCUCGAUUUGGUUGGUUUUGAGAGUCGAAGGGAAAUGAUUAAUAGGGACUGACGGAGGCAUUCGUAUUGCGACGCGAGGGGUGAAAUCCUGUGACCGUCGCACGACGAACUACUGCGAAAGGCGAUCAGAUACCGCCCUAGUUCUAACCGUAAACGAUGUCGACCAGCAAUCCGCAACGGUCACUUUACGGACUGUGCGGGCAGCUUCCCCGGGGAAACCAGAGUUUUUGGACUCCGGGGGAAGUAUGGUUGCAAAGCUGAAACUUAAAGGAAUUGACGGAAGGGCACCACCAGGAGUGGAGCUUGCGGCUUAAUUUGACUCAACACGGGACAACUCACCAGGCCCGGACACCGUAAGGAUUGACAGACUGAUAGCUCUCUCUUGAUUCAGUGGGUGGUGGUGCAUGGCCGUUCUUAGUUGGUGGAGUGAUUUGUCUGGUUUAUUCCGAUAACGAACGAGACUCUGGCCUAUUAAACUUGACGCUGUCAGUCUCUUGUGACUGCGGUGCGCUUCUUAGAGGGAUCAUCGGCGUCCCAGCCGAAGGAAAGGGAGCAAUAACAGGUCUGUGAUGCCCUUAGAUGUUCUGGGCUGCACGCGUGUUACACUGAAGUGGUCAGCGCGCCGUUCAACACCCCUCUCCGUGAGGAGCUUGGGCAAACGUUUGAACCCUUUUCGUGAUGGGAAUUGGGGGUUGCAAUUGUCCCCCAUGAACGAGGAAUUCCAAGUAAGCGCAGGUCACUAGCCUGCGUUGAUUAAGUCCCUGCCCUUUGUACACACCGCCCGUCGCUACUACCGAUGGAUGAUUUGGUGAGGUCGCCUAGACUGGCUGCUGGCUUCGGCCGUGCGGCCGGGAAGACGCCCAAACUUGGUCGUCUA